rnacentral:rRNA from 1 species
CUUAGAUGGCAGGCUUAACACAUGCAAGUCGGAACGCUGUAGCAAUACAGAUGUGGCAGACGGACGAGUAACACGUGGGAACAUACCCUUCCGGUUCGGAAUAUACUCAGGACAACUUGAGCUAAUACCGGUAUACGUCCGCGAGGUCAAAGAUUCAUCGCCGAUAGGAUUGGCCCGCGUCUGAUUAGCUAGUUGGUGAGGUAACGGCUCACCAAGGCGACGAUCAGUAGCUGGUCUGAGAGGAUGAUCAGCCACAUUGGGACUGAGACACGGCCCAAACUCCUACGGGAGGCAGCAAGUGGGGAAUAUUGGACAAUGGGCGAACAGCCUGAUCCAGCCAUGCCGCGUGAGUGAUGAAGGCCUUAGGGUUGUAAAGCUCUUGUUACUCGGGAAGAUAAUGACGGUACCGAGAGAAUAAGCCCCGGCUAACUUCAGUGCCAGCAGCCGCGGUAAUACGAAGCUGGCUAGCGUUGUUCGGAUUUACUGGGCGUAAAGCGCACGUAGGCGGAUUCUUAAGUCAGGCGGUGAAAUCCCGAGGCUCAACCUCGGAACUGCCUUUGAAUACUGGGGAUCUUGAGUUCGGGAGAGCGUGAGUGGAACUGCGAGUGUAGAGGUGAAAUUCGUAGAUAUUCGCAAGAACACCAGUGGCGAAGAUGGCUCACUGGCCCGAUACUGACGCUGAGGUGCGAAUAGCGUGGGGAGCAAACAGGAUUAGAUACCCUGGUAGUUCCACGCCGUAAACUAUGGAUGCUAGCCGUUAGGCAGCUUGCUGCUUAGUGAUGCAGCUAACGCUUUAAGCAUCCCGCCUGGGGAGUACGGUCGCUCGAUUAAAACUCAAAGGAAUUGACGGGGGCCCGCACAAGCGGUGGAGCAUGUGGUUUAAUUCGAAGCAACGGCGCAGAACCUUACCAGCCUUUGACAUGCCUCGGACGGUUUACCAGAGAUGGUUGCUUCUCUUCGGAGCCGAGGACACAGGUCAUGCAUGGCUGUCGUCAGCUCGUGUCAUGAGAUGUUAGGCUUAAUGUCCCGCAACGAGCAGUACCCUACGCCGCUUAGUUGCCAAUCAUUAAGUUGGCGCACUCUAGGUGGACUGCCGGUGAUAAUGCCGAGAGGCAAGGUGUGGAUGACGUAGAGUCCUCAUGGCCCUUACGCGGCUGGGCUACACACGUGCUACAAUGGCGGUGACAAUGCGGACGCGAAAGGGUGACCUUUAGCAAAUCUCAAAAAGCCGUCUCAGUUCGGAUUGUACUCUGCAACUCGCGUACAUGAAGGUGGAAUCUGCUAGUAAUCGUAGAUCAGAACGCUACGGUGACAUACGUUCCCGGUGCGCUUGUACACACCGCCCGUUACACCAUGGGAGUUGGUUCUACCCGAAGGCGUUCUUCUUAACCGUAAGGAGAGAGCAACGACCACGGUAGGGUCAGCGACUGGGGUGAAGUCGUAACAAGACAACCGUACUG